UCUUCUACCUCUGAUGGCUUUUUUAUAUCCCAGGAAAAGUAUAUCCAGGAUCUUCUUGCUCGUGCUGCUCUUACUGACGAGCGCAUUGUUGAGACUCCUAUGGAGCUCAAUGUUCACCUCCGUGCUACUGAUGGUGAUCCUCUCCCUGACCCGACGCGUUAUCGUCAUCUCGUUGGCAGUCUUGUCUAUCUAGCUGUCACUCGUCCGGACAUCUCUUAUCCGGUUCAUAUUCUGAGUCAGUUUGUCUCUGCUCCCACAUCGGUUCACUAUAGUCAUCUCCUUCGUGUUCUCCGAUAUCUUCGGGGCACGAUCUCUCACCGUCUAUUCUUUCCUAGCUCCAGUUCUUUACAGCUUCAGGCCUAUUCGGAUGCUAUGUGGGCUAGUGAUCCUUCUGAUCGCCGUUCACUUUCUGCUUACUGUGUUUUUCUUGGUGGUUCUCUCAUUGCCUGGAAGACGAAGAAACAGAUUGCAGUUUCCCGUUCGAGUGCUGAGGCUGAGUUGCGAGCCAUGGCUCUUUUGACGGCAGAGGUGACUUGGUUACGGUGGUUACUUCAGGAUUUUGGUGUUUCUGUCACU
rnacentral:rRNA from 1 species